CCACGUCACAAGGCUGGGCGGGUCAGUUUCUAUGCCGUCAUAUCCCCUGGGGGACCGGGAGCCAAUAGCGUCGCUCGACAACCCGGAAGAAACAGCAGCCCGAAAAGAGCGCCUGGAUUUCAAUUUUAGAACAGAUACGAAGACAUUGACAGUUCUGAUCUGAGGUCAGUGUCCGCCCCAGUAGACCAUGAGUUUCUCCCCCACCCCCGUGGGCCCGCCCGGCAGCCGUAGUGUCCAGGAGCAGAGAGAGAAGUGGGAGAGGAAGAGAACCCGUACAGUCAGGGCCCUGGUCCAAACUGAACAGAAAUACUGUAAACAACUACAACUAGUCAACACGUACUUUGUGGAGAUUCUGAAGGCCAAAGGCACCCUGAGGCAGGACAUUAGAGAGAGCAUCUUCAGUUCCAUUCCAUCCGUCUAUUCAGUAAACCAGACGUUAUUGGUCCGUCUGGAGAACGGGGACUUGGGCCGUGGAUUUGAUGACUUCUGUCCUCACCUCCACCACUACGUUACCUACGUAGACAACAUCCAGAACGCCAGCAAGGUCCUGGCGCUCCAGGUAAAGAAGAACAAAGCCUUUAGAAGGUUUAAGAAGCUCCAGGAGUCCAGACCAGAGUUCCUCAACUGUAAACUAGAGGACCUCCUCCCACUGCCCAUACAGCGCAUCCAACAGUACAAACAUUUCUUACGGGAUCUGUCAGAGAACACGAGUCCAGAUUACCCAGAGUUCCAACCGCUUUCAAGGUCGGUGAAGCUGAUCUCUGAGGUAUCCCAGCGUAUCCAGGACAACGCCCGCAGCCAUGACAACCACCUGCAGCUGCGGCGGGUGCAGAGACUGCUGAAGGGGAGAAAGACCAAGGUGGAAGCUCCAGGACGCUGGUACCUGCGUGAGGGCUGGCUGCGUACCGUCCCCCCUAAAGGAGCAGAGGUCAAACCCAAGAUGUUCUUCCUGUUUAGUGAUGUCCUUCUCCAAGCCAAGCCCUGCCACCCUCUCCAUCCCACCAACGGAGAUAAGUUUGCUGGCCAGAGAGUCUACCCACUGAAGGACUGUACUGUGGACAAGGUGUUUGGGCACACCCAGAGCCAGGGCGGCCUUCUCAGUUUGACCUUCCCUAAAGCCAAGCUGCUGCUGAUGUCCAGCGAUCAGGAAGAUAUCAACGACUGGUAUUACAGCCUGAGCUCUGCUGUAGGUCAGUUAAAGUCCAGGAACACAGUGGUCCAUCAGAGAGAUGAUCUGGUCAGGAGACCGCUACGCUGCUUUGUAGAGGACCAGAAGAACCAAACUACCCCCACCACACCACCCACCACCUCCACCCCAGGGAGGAAGAGGAUGGCCCCCCCCUCCACCCCAGACCCCCUCCAGACCUACCGCUCCAGCAGAAGCAGAGGGCAGCGCCUCCAAGAGGAUGAAGCUGACUGGGGGGCCAGCUGAGAGUGAAUCGGCCAGGUCAAGCUGUGUGAUCCUGUGAAGGACCAAGAACUUCAGAGAUCCUUGCUCUUUCACACAAACCAAUCAAGUCUGACAGAUAAGCGUUAAUGGGGGGGAUAUGAGGAGAGAUUAGAGGUAGUUAGAUACUGGAGAAUCAGGUUAAUGGGGAGAGAUGGGAGGUAGUUAGAUACUGGAGAAUCAGGUUAAUGGGGAGAGAUGGGAGGUAGUUAGAUACUGGAGAAUUAGGUUAAUGGGGAGAGAUGGGAGGUAGUUAGAUAUGAGGAGAGAUGGGAGGUAGUUAGAUACUGGAGAAUCAGGUUAAUGGGGAGAGAUGGGAGGUAGUUAGAUACUGGAGAAUCAGGUUAAUGGGGAGAGAUGGGAGGUAGUUAGAUAUGAGGAGAGAUGGGAGGUAGUUAGAUGCUGGAGAAUCAGGUUAAUGGGGAGAGAUGGGAGGUAGUUAGAUAUGAGGAGAGAUGGGAGGUAGUUAGAUGCUGGAGAAUCAGGUUAACGCUGGGAUAUGAGGAGAGGUGGGAGGUAGUUAGAUACUGGAGAAUCAGGUUAAUGGGGAGAGAUGGGAGGUAGUUAGAUACUGGAGAAUCAGGUUAAUGGGGAGAGAUGGGAGGUAGUUAGAUACUGGAGAAUCAGGUUAAUGGGGAGAGAUGGGAGGUAGUUAGAUACUGGAGAAUUAGGUUAAUGGGGAGAGAUGGGAGGUAGUUAGAUAUGAGGAGAGAUGGGAGGUAGUUAGAUGAUAUGAAAUGUGAAGAUUUUAACACUGAUGCCAAAGACACUUUGAAACACCUUCACGAUAGAAGCUCCAGCAGAUGGAAAAUGUGAGAUUUGACUCUGAAAUAAAUGAAUGUUUUGUCCUGAA